rnacentral:rRNA from 1 species
AUUGANCGCUGGCGGCAUGCUUUACACACGCAAGUCGAACGGCAGCACGGGUGCUUGCACCUGGUGGCGAGUGGCGAACGGGUGAGUAAUGCAUCGGAACGUACCGUGUUAUGGGGGAUAGCCCGGCGAAAGCCGGAUUAAUACCGCAUACGCCCUGAGGGGGAAAGCGGGGGAUCGUAAGACCUCGCGUAAUACGAGCGGCCGAUGUCGGAUUAGCUAGUUGGUGGGGUAAAGGCCUACCAAGGCGACGAUCCGUAGCUGGUCUGAGAGGAUGAUCAGCCACACUGGGACUGAGACACGGCCCAGACUCCUACGGGAGGCAGCAGUGGGGAAUUUUGGACAAUGGGCGAAAGCCUGAUCCAGCCAUGCCGCGUGAGUGAAGAAGGCCUUCGGGUUGUAAAGCUCUUUCGCAAGGGAAGAAAACUUACCCUCUAAUAUAGGGUGAGGCUGACGGUACCUUGAUAAGAAGCACCGGCUAACUACGUGCCAGCAGCCGCGGUAAUACGUAGGGUGCGAGCGUUAAUCGGAAUUACUGGGCGUAAAGCGUGCGCAGGCGGUUUUGAAAGUCAGAUGUGAAAUCCCCGGGCUCAACCUGGGAACUGCGUUUGAAACUCCAAGACUAGAGUACGGGAGAGGGAGGUAGAAUUCCACGUGUAGCAGUGAAAUGCGUA